rnacentral:misc_RNA from 1 species
UCAAACUUGGUCAUUUAGAGGAAGUAAAAGUCGUAACAAGGUCUCCGUUGGUGAACCAGCGGAGGGAUCAUUACAAGAAUCCAAAAUCUCUAUAACCCGUGCCAUUUCUACCUCUGUUGCUUUGGUAGGCGGCCCCAGGGCGGGGCCUAUACCCUAACAAGGUGCCUACCAAAGACCCUAAAACUAUAUUUUAAUGGUGGUAUCUGAGUCCGCGAGAAUAAAUCAAAACUUUCAGCAACGGAUCUCUUGGUUCUGGCAUCGAUGAAGAACGCAGC